UACGUAGGUGGCAAGCGUUGUCCGGAUUUAUUGGGCGUAAAGCGAGCGCAGGCGGUUUCUUAAGUCUGAUGUGAAAGCCCCCGGCUCAACCGGGGAGGGUCAUUGGAAACUGGGAGACUUGAGUGCAGAAGAGGAGAGUGGAAUUCCAUGUGUAGCGGUGAAGUGCGUAGAUAUAUGGAGGAACACCAGUGGCGAAGGCGGCUCUCUGGUCUGUAACUGACGCUGAGGCUCGAAAGCGUGGGGAGCAAACAGGAUU
rnacentral:rRNA from 1 species